AUUUUUUCUCUGUUCAAACCGUUAACACACUUUCCGAAGAAUCUACUUAUGGAUCUGAUAACGAGAUGGAUUUGAGACGGCUAUUCCUCAAUUGCAGAGUUUGGCAUUUUGAUGACUGCAGUGUGGAUUGGAUGACCGAUGAUGCUUACGAUGGAUUCAGAUGCAUUCACGCAUCCUUUUCUGUGUAGCGAACAUCUGGAAUAGUUUAAAUACAUCUACAUCUUAUUCGGAUACAAUUUAUCGUCGGCGUCAUAGAUGAAAUUUAAACAACUACUUCAAUGCAUUUGGAUACGCUUUAGACGCAGAAUGUAACUAGUUCAUCUUUCGGCCACACCAAUCACUCCGAGG